rnacentral:rRNA from 1 species
GCAAGUCGUACGAGAAAGCUCCCUUCGGGGAGUGAGUAGAGUGGCGCACGGGUGAGUAACGCGUGGGCAAUCUGCCCCCGAGCUCGGAAUAACCCCUCGAAAGGGGGGCUAAUACCGGAUAACAAUUCGAUCUCCUCGGAGGUUGAAUUCAAAGGUGGCCUCUGAUUUAAGCUACCACUUGGGGAGGAGCCCGCGUCCCAUUAGCUUGUUGGUGGGGUAAUGGCCUACCAAGACGAUGAUGCAUAGCCGACCUGAGAGGGUGAUC